rnacentral:rRNA from 1 species
AGGACGUGCUACCUGGU